UACGUAGGGGGCAAGCGUUGUCCGGAUUUACUGGGCGUAAAGAGCGUGUAGGCGGCCACGCAGGUCCGUUGUGAAAACUGGAGGCUCAACCUCCAGCUGUCGACGGAAACCGUAUGGCUAGAGUCCGGAAGAGGAGAGUGGAAUUCCCAGUGUAGAGGUGAAAUUCGUAGAUAUUGGGAAGAACACCGGUGGCGAAGGCGGCUCUCUGGACCGAGACUGACGCUGAGGCGCGAAAGCGUGGGGAGCAAACAGGG
rnacentral:rRNA from 1 species